rnacentral:rRNA from 1 species
CAGUCGCCGCGGUAAUACGGAGGGAGCUAGCGUUGUUCGGAAUUACUGGGCGUAAAGCGCACGUAGGCGGUUAUUCAAGUCAGAGGUGAAAGCCCGGGGCUCAACCCCGGAACUGCCUUUGAAACUAGAUGACUGGAAUCUUGGAGAGGUCAGUGGAAUUCCGAGUGUAGAGGUGAAAUUCGUAGAUAUUCGGAAGAACACCAGUGGCGAAGGCGACUGACUGGACAAGUAUUGACGCUGAGGUGCGAAAGCGUGGGGAGCAAACAGGAUUAGAUACCCGAGUAGUCCCUGUCUCUUAUAC